UCAUCCCUGGGCAAGUGAAAGCAGGCUGAGCAAGCAGUGAAGCCAGCCAGCAAGCAGCUCUUCUCCAUGGCUUCUCUUAGUUCUCGCCUCCGGUUCCCACCCUAAUUUCCCUCAGCGAUGGACAGUUAGAUACUGGCAGCUAUAAGGUGCGAUAACUUUUCCUCCUCAUGUCUGUUUUAGUCAUGGUGUUUUAUCACAGCAGACAGAAAGUCUUUCCAAUAUUUGCUCCGAAGCCCCAGCUCGAGUAGAGCAGCAGCAAUAAAUUGAGGCAUUCUGGUGUGAGGCCUGGGAGUGCGGUGGUGAAAGUAACUCUUCCAGCCUCUCCAGCUGAUGGGCCAGCUUCAUUCUGCCCUGAGGGGCCCAUGGAGGCUCGAGAACUAACAAGUCCCUUAGUACACGGUGAAUGCUCUCCAUCCACCUGGUUCUAAUUCUUAGUCCCGAUUCUGCCUCUAGGACACCGAGUCCUGGUGUCUGUGCAAAAGAGUUGCCUGCUCCAGAUGGAUGGGUACAUUGAGUGCUCAGCUCAUUUCACCCUUGGGGCUUCCUGUGAAGCAAAGUGGAUUAAAGAGUCCCCCCCCCUCCACCUCCCACAGUUACUCCUAAACCCCAUACCUGCAAGCAUGAUCCUAUUUAGUGUCCACAGAGGCCAUUAAGGAUCUGAAGAUGUGAUCAUCUUACAACGAGGACAGUCUGUAAUCUACUGCCAGGGUCUAAAUGAGAAAGGAAAGAAGCUCUAAGCCAGACACAGGGAGAAGGCCACCUGAGACCCAAGAAGACCAGAGACGUGUACCAUAAGGAGGAGCCACCUGGAGCUGCAGAAGUGAGGGAGGCUCCUGCAGCCUGUGCCCCUCCCUCACAUCCUUGGUCCUCAGAGCCCUUACAGCUAGAGGGGUCCUAUUCUGGAUAGCUCAAGCCCCAUCAAGCAACUUUGACACCCCUCUGCAACUAACCGGCUGUCUAGCCCAGCCCAGGCCAGCUAAGGUCACUCUGCAUUCUGUAAAGAAAAGACCUGCAGCCCAACGUGAUAGUGUAUCAGUUUGUUUCUCUGUUGAUGCAAUAAAACAUUGAUCAAAAGCAA
ensembl:lincRNA Gm29483 predicted gene 29483